GACGAACGCUGGCGGCGUGCUUAACACAUGCAAGUCGAACGGAAAGGCCCUGCUUUUGUGGGGUGCUCGAGUGGCGAACGGGUGAGUAACACGUGAGUUACCUGCCCUUGACUUUGGGAUAACUUCAGGAAACUGGGGCUAAUACCGGAUAGGAGCUCCUGCUGCAUGGUGGGGGUUGGAAAGUUUCGGCGGUUGGGGAUGGACUCGCGGCUUAUCAGCUUGUUGGUGGGGUAGUGGCUUACCAAGGCUUUGACGGGUAGCCGGCCUGAGAGGGUGACCUGCCACAUUGGGCCUGAGCUACGACACAGCCUCCUACGGGAGGCAACAGUGGGGAAUAUUGCACAAGGGGAGGAGGCCUGAUGCAGCAACGCCGCGUGCGGGAUGACGGCCUGCGGGUUGUAAACCGCUUUCGCCUGUGACGAAGCGUUAGUGACGGUAAUGGGUAAAGAAGCACCGGCUAACUACGUG
rnacentral:rRNA from 1 species